rnacentral:tRNA from 1 species
UAGCUCAGUUGAUGGAGCACAAGGUUUUGAACCAUGAGGUUGGGGGUUCAACCCCU